ACAAACUUGGUCAUUUAGAGGAAGUAAAAGUCGUAACAAGGUUUCCGUAGGUGAACCUGCGGAAGGAUCAUCAGAGAUGUGACCCUCUCUAUUUACAAUGCCCGUGUGAACCCGGGAGGCGCACAGGGAUGCGGGGUCGGCGGUCAGCCGAGCCCCGUGGCCUUGCGCCUACACAAACGCGUCAGACUAUUCAGACUAAACCUACCUUUUAAAACACGACAACUUUCAACAAUGGAUCUCUUGGCUCUCGCAUCGAUGAAGAACGCAGC
rnacentral:misc_RNA from 1 species